rnacentral:rRNA from 1 species
UGUUGGCGGGGUAACGGCCCACCAAGCCUUUUAUCGGUACGGGUUGUGGGAGCAAGAUCCCGGAGAUGGAUUCUGAGACAUGAAUCCAGGCCCUACGGGGCGCAGCAGGCGCGCAAACUUUACAAUGCGAGCAAUCGUGAUAAGGAAACCCUGAGUGCCUGUCGAUGCAGGCUGUUCAUAUAUCUAAAUCAUAUGUGAAGAAAGGGCAGGGCAAGACCGGUGCCAGCCGCCGCGGUAAUACCGGCUGCUCGAGUGAUGGCCACUAUUACUGGGUUUAAAGCGUCCGUAGCUUGACUGUUAGGUCUCUUGGGAAAUCUUCGCGCUCAACGUGAAGGCGUCUAAGAGAUACCGGCAGUCUUGGAACUGGGAGAGGUAAACCGUACUUCGGGGGUAGGAGUGAAAUCUUGUAAUCCUCGAGGGACGACCUAUGGCGAAGGCAGUUUACCAGAACAGCUUCGACAGUGAGGGACGAAAGCUGGGGGAGCAAACGGGAUUAGAUACCCCGGUAGUCCCAGCCGUAAACAAUGUGCGUUAGGUGUGUCGGUAACCACGUGUUACUGAUGCGCCGAAGAGAAAUCGUGAAACGCACCACCUGGGAAGUACGGUCGCAAGGCUGAAACUUAAAGGAAUUGGCGGGGGAGCACCACAACAGGUGGAGCCUGCGGUUUAAU